rnacentral:misc_RNA from 1 species
AAAUAUUGUAAGAAUCUGGCAACUAAAUUAAAUGUCAUUUAAACCAAUGGGAAUCGAUUACAGUGGGGGUAUGUUAAGUGGGGAUAAUUUGUUGGUAAGCUAGAGGAAGGAACGGAGGAUUCAUUCUGGUUGCUGGUUUUGAAGCGAGCACUAGUACUGUCAUUGGUUACUAAAUCAUAUAUUGUAUAUCCAAUACAUAUCAGAAGUGGCAAGCGUCUACUGCUCACAAAGAUUUCACCGAAUACAGCUGUAAUGGCUCAGAAAACGAAACACAAUCUAUAUUAAAACAAGAUACAAUAUUUAUAAAUAAAAGGAAAUAUAUAGCUUGUUUUAAAAAUGAUAAUUAUGAAAACGGAAAUCCAAAGAGGAAUAAAGUUGAAGAAUCGUAUGAGAACGUGACAAAUAAUGAUCAAAAAUGUAUUCUCUGUGUUUUUGAUAGCGAACUGGAUAAAAGAAAUUAUUAUUUUGGAAAU